AGAGUUUGAUCCUGGCUCAGAUUGAACGCUGGCGGCAGGCUUAACACAUGCAAGUCGAACGAUGACUCUCUAGCUUGCUAGAGAUGAUUAGUGGCGGACGGGUGAGUAACAUUUAGGAAUCUACCUAGUAGUGGGGGAUAGCUCGGGGAAACUCGAAUUAAUACCGCAUACGACCUACGGGUGAAAGGGGGCGCAAGCUCUUGCUAUUAGAUGAGCCUAAAUCAGAUUAGCUAGUUGGCGGGGUAAAGGCCCACCAAGGCGACGAUCUGUAACUGGUCUGAGAGGAUGAUCAGUCACACCGGAACUGAGACACGGUCCGGACUCCUACGGGAGGCAGCAGUGGGGAAUAUUGGACAAUGGGGGCAACCCUGAUCCAGCCAUGCCGCGUGUGUGAAGAAGGCCUUUUGGUUGUAAGGCACUUUAAGCAGGGAGGAGAGGCUAAUGGUUAAUACCCAUUAGAUUAGACGUUACCUGCAGAAUAAGCAC
rnacentral:rRNA from 1 species